GGGGGUGUAGCUCAGCCGGUUAGAGCGCGUGAAUGGCAUUCACGAGGUCAUGGGUUCGACUCCCUUCACCUCCA
rnacentral:tRNA from 1 species